rnacentral:rRNA from 1 species
CCCUUAGAUGUUCUGGGCCGCACGCGCGCUACACUGAUGCAUUCAACGAGCCUAUCCUUGACCGACAGGUCCGGGUAAUCUUUGAAUCUGCAUCGUGACGGGGAUAGAUUAUUGCAAUUAUUAAUCUUCAACGAGGAAUGCCUAGUAGGCGCAAGUCAUCAGCUUGCGUCGAUUACGUCCCUGCCCUUUGUACACACCGCCCGUCGCUCCUACCGAUUGGGUGUGCUGGUGAAAUGUUCGGAUCGGCCGUUUGUCGCGGUUUCCGCGGCUCGUGGCUGAGAAGUUCAUUAAACCCUUCCACCUAGAGGAAGGAGAAGUCGUAACA